UCCGUUGGUGUCGAUAAACGUGAGUCUUCCUAUUCGUCCUAUGACAUCUAGUUGUACCUGUCCCCCUGUGGAUUUACCUCUCCGUUGGCCUUGGUGAACGUUGAGUGUUUCCUAGAUUGUCCGUUGGCAUCUAGUUGUGAUUUCUUUUCCCAUUCAUCGUCAUUGCGAUGUCUGGAUGUGGUCGUACCUUUUGAAAACAAAAAA
rnacentral:lncRNA from 1 species